GGCGGAACAAUAGCCGCCAGGCAACUAAAACGGCCACACCGUGAACGGGUGCGAGUGUCCCAAGCCACUAUAAACCGUUGAGGGGUUG
rnacentral:ribozyme from 1 species